rnacentral:lncRNA from 1 species
AAAGUAUUGCCAGGUACAAGAACUACUUGGAGGAACAAGAUCAGUAGCUCUUAUUAUUCUAGAAGAAGGUUUGGCGUGAGGGUCCGUAAAAGCCUCAUUAAUCUAUCCCCUACUUGGAAGAAUAUCUGCAGGGACCUCUCAGCCUUCUGGAAUUGCACAUCCUUCAGGAUGGGAAAUGGUGGCCAUAUCAGAUUCGAGAAGGAUGCUUGGGUUGGUACCACUUCUCUUGCCCAUCUUUUUGAUGGUCUAUAUUCCUGUGCAGUGAAAGAGAAUGUGUGAGUUACUUCAUAGUGGAGUUGGAGAUUGCUUUGGUGAAAAAUCUCUCUUCGUAGCCCAUUGUCCCAAUUUCAAAUCUCUUAAUGCAGACCAAGUUUGAUCUCCUUUCCAUAGUCAGACCAUCAAGAAUUGCUGACACUCCCCGCUGGAAGCUCACACACUAUGGCUCUUUCAUAGUUGACUCUUACUAUAGAUUUCUCAACGUCGGUGGACUUGUUUCCCUUAUCAUAAAGUCAUCUGGAAGGCAGCAGUGCCGGAGAAGAUAAAGGUAUUUCUUUGGCUUGCUUUGACAAACAAAUUUUAUACAGGUGAGGUCCUUACCACAAAGAGAUGGUCUGUGAGUACAUGUUGUCCUCUUUGUGGUUGUAAUAUUGAAUCUAUUUUUCAUCUUUUCGUUAGAUGCCCAUUCAACAGGAGUAUCCGGACGACUUUGAAAUCUUGUCUGAAUUUUAGAGGGUGGCCACCUAAUCUUCACUCCUUAUGGACAUCUUGGAGGAAAAGGUACAUUCAACCAACCUUAAGAAGAGCAUGAGAUCAAUUGUUAAUGUCUAUGUUUUGGCAUAUUUAGUUCGAGCAGAACAAAAGAAUUUUCAUUCAUC